UCUUUCCUCAGCCCCUGAUCCUCAAAGAAGCUGGUUCAAAGAACACUCACAGAGCAUCACUGAACAUGAGGAGGGUCUACCAGCAGGAAAGCUCUUUGAAGGAAUCAGUCUGAUCUCAUGUUCCAGGAAUGAAACCCUGGCAUGGAAGUGGCAUAUCUGCUAGUUAAUGUCAACAUUUGAUGUGCAGUGAGAGAGCAAACAGGAUUUCAUAUUGUGGAAGUCAACCUUCCUUAUGUCUGUUUGAAAGUCUUACCAACCUUCUCAGAUCUGGCCAGCUCUGGAAAACUCGUCUCAGCAGCUCUGGGUGUUUUGGUAGCAAGAGCGCUUCUCUGCCACGAGCAUAUUGGGUGGUAUAUUUGGAGGCGGUUUACUUCGCUUACUUACCUUACUAAUUUGUUAGAGAACUUAAAUUUCUUCACACUGGGAUGUUUUAAAAAGCACUUAGGUUAUAGGAUUUACCAGUAAGGAGAGACGACAGCUUCUGCAUUCAAACAAAAAAACAAACACCAACCAACCAAAACAAAACGAAUGAAUAAACAAGCAAAAAAGCAAACAAAAACAGAUCCAUCAACAAACACUAAUGAUUCCAUAAUGUUUCCAUUUCAGUUUGAAUUCAUGUUCUGGAUUUCACUUGAUAGCACAGGACAAAGCAAGUCCUUGCUGCACCAUGCCAAAAACUUCAUGCUCUUCGUUAAGCAUUCUUUAAACAAUAUCUACAGGGAAACACAUUCCUUAUAGAUAUCAGUGACAACUAUCACUGGAAGUUUAUUUUAUGCUGUACUGAACACGUGAAUAGAAGGGGAGCAGUGAAGGCUGCUUGCUUCUGAGUCUUGUGCUAGGACAGCAUGCAGAAAUGGAGAGGAACACAGCACAUGUGAAUUUAGCUUCCAUUCUAACCACUGAUACCUAUUAGAAAAAUAACAAGUUAAACUAUUAUUUAUGUCUAGAAAUGCCACCAGAAUGUGUGACUAAGGACAUAUGAAAGUGAUCACUUUCUAUCAACUAGCAGCAUGGGAAAUGUUUUGAAUUUAUUCCUGUUUCGGGUAGAUAACAUGCCUGAUAUUACAAAAGGCUUCUUGAUGAAAGUUUUUACUGAAAGAAACUGCUGCUGGGAAACUCAGAAAUGAUUUUCAGAAACUGAAAUACGAUCACAAUGAAAAUCUCAGUUCAGCUUUCAGACAGACAUCGGUAAAAUGAUGCUUUCCUGAAAGCACGCCUAAGGGGGAAGCAGAUCAGCGACCCUUUUGGCCAAACUCAAAUUCAACGCUUCAGCAGGGGUCUUCAAAAGAAACAGAAUAGCUCAGUAACACAAAGGCAGCAGAAAUGCUGAAUUUCACUACACGCAUUGUAGUAGAGCCCCCAUACUUUGAAGAGAACUGUAGUGGACAACAAUUAAACUGUGCAGCCAGGGGAAGAGAGCAGUGAAACCCUGGGAUGUGUCUGUACCCCACCGUGCCCACACGACCUGUGGGCAGGAAGAAAGUCAGGUCAGCCUCAUGAGUGGGGUCACCCCCACAGCACACCUCCAGCUCCAAGCUGCUUGGCCUGGCCUGGCCAGCCUCCAGCACCAGCAGCUCUCCUCCAUCUCCAACACACAGAAAUGCCCUCAGAUCGGUGAAUGGCAAGGAGCUGAGGCUUGACUGAUUCAUUCUGGAAAUAGAGCUUAUGCUUUCUUUUUUUUUUUUAGCAGCAGUUGUAAUUUUACUUAAGGCUCCAAAUCUGGAUGGGGCAUCUUUGGCAUCUUUCUAAAAGAUGACCUCCUGCUUAACCAGCAACUGUAGGGCAGAUGCAGAAUCACAUCCCACCUUGGAAGACCACGACCUUAAGAAUUUUUACAUAUCAAAUAUGAAUUUCAUUUUGAUCCUUUCCCACUGUCCAGAGAUGUCAGAAAUCCAUUUAAUUGCAUAGCCUGUCAAGACUCCCUGGGAAUUAUGUGUAUUUUCUCACUCUCUCUCAUACAAAAUCCAUCUCCGCUCUGAAUAAUUACUGCCAGAGCUGAAUCAGAACCUGCCAAAGUUGCAGGAAAGAAUCCAACCCUUUUCUACAAACAUUCAAAGCAAAUAUGAAUUUGCUUUGCUGUUUGUUUUCUCCCUCUCUCUCUUUUUUUUUUUUUUUUUUCUUUUCCACUAUCCCCUUCACGUCAUUCUCUUUGAAUAACUUAGCAUGAAUGAAUUUAGUGAGGGAGUGGUGCAUAAGAAAUCUUUGGGCAGAUCCUCAGCUGGUGUACAAUUGGCUGCAGUAAGGCUACACUCAGUUACAUCCUGAAAAUGCAUCAUAGUGAAUGUGAAAAGCUGUCUUGUAGGUUAUUCACCUCAAUGUUCCCAUCAGCUUUCUCAGCUUAAUGAUUUUAGUUAUUGAGUCAGAGGAUGGAACAAUAGUAUGGGAUUGAGCCCAAGCAAUUAACUCUUCACUCAAUUUUAUUACAGAACCCUGAACUGGAAUCCCACAGAGGACUUGUAAUAGUCAUACUCAGAGAAAACAACAAAAUUUUUAAUAGUGAAAAUUUGGAAAACAAAAUUAAAGAGCAGCCCAUGAUUUGCACACAGA